rnacentral:rRNA from 1 species
GACGAACGCUGGCGGCGUGCUUAACACAUGCAAGUCGAACGGAAAGGCCCUGCUUUUGUGGGGUGCUCGAGUGGCGAACGGGUGAGUAACACGUGAGUAACCUGCCCUUGACUUUGGGAUAACUUCAGGAAACUGGGGCUAAUACCGGAUAGGAGCUCCUGCUGCAUGGUGGGGGUUGGAAAGUUUCGGCGGUUGGGGAUGGACUCGCGGCUUAUCAGCUUGUUGGUGGGGUAGUGGCUUACCAAGGCUUUGACGGGUAGCCGGCCUGAGAGGGUGACCGGCCACAUUGGGACUGAGAUACGGCCCAGACUCCUACGGGAGGCAGCAGUGGGAAAUAUUGCACAAUGGGCGGAAGCCUGAUGCAGCAACGCCGCGUGCGGGAUGACGGCCUUCGGGUUGUAAACCGCUGUCGACUGUGACGAAGCGUGAGUGACGGUAAUGGGUAAAGAAGCACCGGCUAACUACGUG